UGAGGAAUCUUGCGCAAUGGGGGAAACCCUGACGCAGCAACGCCGCGUGAGUGAGGAAGGUCUUCGGGUCGUAAAGCUCUGUCAGGCGGGAAGAAAUGCAUGGAGGUGAACAGCCGCCAUGCUUGACGGUACCGCCAGAGGAAGCACCGGCUAACUCCGUGCCAGCAGCCGCGGUAAUACGGGGGGUGCAAGUGUUGUUCGGAAUCAUUGGGCGUAAAGAGCGUGUAGGCGGCUUGGUAAGUCAGAUGUGAAAGCCCUGGGCUCAACCCGGGAAGUGCAUUUGAAACUGCCAGGCUCGAGUAGGGGAGAGGGAAGUGGAAUUCCUGGUGUAGAGGUGAAAUUCGUAGAUAUCAGGAGGAACACCGGUGGCGAAGGCGACUUCCUGGCCCUAUACUGACGCUGAGACGCGAGAGCGUGGGUAGCAAACA
rnacentral:rRNA from 1 species